rnacentral:rRNA from 1 species
CCUACGGGGUGCAGCAGUGGGGAAUAUUGGACAAUGGGCGAAAGCCUGAUCCAGCCAUGCCGCGUGUGUGAAGAAGGCCUUCGGGUUGUAAAGCACUUUCAGUGGGGAAGAAAGCCUUGGGGCUAAUACCCUCGAGGAAGGACAUCACCCACAGAAGAAGCACCGGCUAACUCCGUGCCAGCAGCCGCGGUAAUACGGAGGGUGCGAGCGUUAAUCGGAAUUACUGGGCGUAAAGCGCGCGUAGGCGGUCUGAUAAGCCGGUUGUGAAAGCCCCGGGCUCAACCUGGGAACGGCAUCCGGAACUGUCAGGCUAGAGUGCAGGAGAGGACGGUAGAAUUCCCGGUGUAGCGGUGAAAUGCGUAGAGAUCGGGAGGAAUACCAGUGGCGAAGGCGGCCUUCUGGACUGACACUGACGCUGAGGUGCGAAAGCGUGGGUAGCAAACAGGAUUAGAUACCCGAGUAGUC